rnacentral:rRNA from 1 species
UGUAGCAAUACGAUGGAAAGUCUAGUGGCGAACGGGUGCUUAACACGUGGGCAACCUGCCAUGAAGUGGGGGAUAGCUCGGCGAAAGCCGGAUUAAUACCGCAUGUGAUCAGGGGAGACAUCUUCCCAAAAUCAAAGGUGGCGCAAGCUACCGCUUUUUGAGGAGCCCGCGGCCUAUCAGCUUGUUGGUGAGGUAACGGCUCACCAAGGCGUUGACGGGUAGCUGGUCUGAGAGGACGACCAGUCACACUGGAACUGAGACACGGUCCAGACACCUACGGGUGGCAGCAGUCGAGAAUUUUUCUCAAUGGGGGAAACCCUGAAGGAGCGACGCCGCGUGGAGGAUGAAGGUCUUCGGGUUGUAAACUCCUGUCAUUUGGGGACAAUGCUGACGCGUUAACUGCGCGUUAGUUGAUAGUACCAGAAGAGGAAGAGACGGCUAACUCUGUGCCAGCAGCCGCGGUAAUACAGAGGUCUCAAGCGUUGUUCGGAUUCAUUGGGCGUAAAGGGUGUGUAGGUGGCACGCUAAGUCGGGUGUGAAAUUUCGGAGCUUAACUCCGAAACUGCAUUCGAUACUGACGUGCUUGAGGACUGGAGAGGAGACUGGAAUUCACGGUGUAGCA